rnacentral:lncRNA from 1 species
AUGUAUUGUGUUAUAUCUAACUCAGCACAACAGUAUAUCAGGUAAAUACUAUUAUUGUUCCAAUUUUCCAAAGUAACAAUGGAAUAGGAAGAUUAGGUAAAUUGACAGGCUUCAUACUAACAAUAAGUGAAGACAAAAAGCGCUACUAGCCUACAUGCUCUUUGGUGGCAAGUACUUUAUCUACUUGGCUUAGCUCAGUGUCUAGCAAAGAGUAGGUAUCCAUUUAUCAUGUGGAAUAGAAGGAGAGAAGGAAAUGAGGAAGGAAAGGAAAGGAAGGGAGAAAAGAAAGAAAUUAUAUCUAGAUAAUCUACAUUCUCAAUAAAUAUUGAUUAUUCUUCCUUUAUUUUUUUAACCCUGAAAUCAUAGGUAAAUCUGCAAUUUUGCUGAGGAAUCCUAGGGUUUGGUGAUUUCUCCCCCCUGGGGAUUUUGUACUAUAAUUCCUAGUACAAGUCACUGAAGCAUCUGCUAUCAUUUGGUUUAGUAUUCUAGUUAAUGCAUGUUUUAGGUUCAUCUCUUAAUUUCUAAUGUUAGACUAACAGAGGAACAUAGUUUAUUCUACCUCACUAAGGUCCUGGGGAAAAAAAAAAAUAUCCCCAAUAUUGGCCUCUCACCCACUGGUAUAAACUAAGGUGAAAAAAAAAAAAAAAGACUGUUCCCAGAAGUACUUCCAAGCCUCAUGAAUAUCAUCAACCAGUGAUACCAAAAUUUGAGAAGCUUAAACAAGAUGUGUUGAUGCAAUAGAUACAGGCUCACUACACUACCUCUGCCAUUGUUAUGUGACUGCCUAAUGCCAUUCAAAAUGAAACUUUGGAGGAGCUUAUGUAAAGCAAGAACUAAUCUCUACUUUUUUAGUCAGAAUUCAAUGACUAAUCGAAACCAUAAUUAUAAAUAUGUAUACAGUAAACACAGGGCCCAUUACUUUUGUUUAGCAAAACACAGAUUUUUAAUAUGAUUUAAUCUUACCUGACUCUAAGAAAGUUACUGUACAUUUUAUUUUUGUGUUUUCAGUGAGAUAGAGUUAAGGUGAGGGUUGGGAGUUGGAGAAGAAAGCAAUCAUUCAGGAAACCUAUGGCAUUGCUCACAUAACACAGGAUUUAUUUAUAACUAUGCUGCAAAUAUUUCCAAGGUAAUGAAUAGCUUAGUCAUUCAAUGCCUCGGUAUUGUGUGUAAAAUAUGGAUAAUAUAAAGACUUUUCUCAUAGUCAGCAAAAAUGAAUACAAGCAUAUUGCAAAUAGUGUUACAUCAAUUCUUGUGAUGAGGAUCAAUUCUCACAUAUUCAUUUCUCAUUUUAAGGAAAAAAUUUAUUGGUAGUCUAAUUUCUAUCUCAUCAGCAGUAUGAGAAUUAAAGGAAGUCUAUCAAGACUAUCCAAAAUAUGUAACAAGCAACAUGUUUCUAGUACUCUCUAUUCCUCCAAACAUGUUUUAUUUAUACAUGCAUUCAUUUGACAUUUACUGACCACCUACUAUGUGUAAGGCAUUGAGAGACUGUGGACAACUCUAUACUUAGCUUAGUACCUAUGUUUCCUACUCCCAGAGGUCAGUAAAAUUCAUAUCAUGCAUGCAGAUGUUUCUGGGCCGGGGAUCAAAUCAGUGACACAGCAGUGACCUGAACCACAGCCUUAACAAUGCCAGAUGCUUAACCCACUGAGCUACCAGGGAACUCUCUUCCUUAGAAUUUUUUAUUUAAAAAAAUUUUUUUAAAUUUAUUUUUAUUUUUUUGUCCUUUGUCCUUUUAGGGCUGCACCAGUGGCAUAUGGAGGUUCCCAGGCUAGGGGUCUAAUUGGAGCUAUAGCUGCCAGCCCACGCCAGAAUCACAGCAAGACCAGAUCUGAGCCAUGUCUGCGACCUACCCCCAGCUCAUGGCAAUGCCAGAUCCUUAUCACACUGAUCGAGGCCAGGGAUUGAACCCACAACCUCAUGGUUCCUGGUUGGAUUCAUUUCUGCUGCGUCACAACGGGAACUCCAGCAUUUUUAAGAAGAAUAAUGCAAGUUAUUUGAAUAAGUGUUCAAUACUGGGAAUUUGGUACUUCCAAAUUAUUUAAAUAAAUACUUUGUAUGUUGAGUUGCUACUUCUUAUAUUACAUUUAUAGAACUUAACCUAACUAGUAUAAGAUAGUCUAUAAUAGCUUGUCUGUAUUAAAAAGAUAUUUGUCAGAAGAUAUAUAGAGCUAUUACCUAAAAGAAAGUUAACAUCACUGAUAGCAACAUUUAGGAACAAAUAUCAGGUGACUAGAACUUGAUAAAAGUAAAGGAUGAUAUUCCAACCUUAAAAUUUACAUCUCGAUUUUAGCCCCUUUUCUAAGAUUAUUAUUUAAUGUUCGCUUUUUUCUCUCUCACUUCCACCCAACUGCAACAGAGGCACAGGCACAAAUCAGGAAAUCAUCUUAGAAUAUACUCUUACAUUUUCUGACUAUGCCCCAUGUGUCCACUAAUAGCCAAAUGCUUUCAAAUCUGUUCAGCUAAAUGGAUCAAUAACUACAUCCAGCCUCGCAUAGUGGGAUUGCCAACAUGGUGAAAUUGAGCCAAACACAAAAUGUCUCUGCGAGGACAAAAAUUAUUAUCAACCCAGUUAUCUACAGAGAUCUACUCUCCCCAGGUAUCCUUUAGAGAAGUCAACAUAGACAUUAUCUAGGGCAGUCAACGGCUACUAAAAAAAGAUGUGAGACUCAGAACAAAGAAUUUGGAUAGAAUUUGGGGAGCUAAAAUCAGAGUUUUAUCAUAAACCAAUGUAAUAGUUCAAGGUCUACCUCAAGUAAGAAUCUUUCAAACUUGGAGUACACAAAAUACAUAACAGUACAAGAAAACUAACAAGAUUCUCUGUGUGCUCACUCAUAUGGCACAACUGCGAGCAACAAUUGAGCAGGUGCAACCAAGCUUUUGAGAAUUCCUGCCUGUUGCCCAGGAGCCACAGCACCACACAGUUGAGAUUUUUAAACAGGUGCAAACAUUUUUUUCCCCCAUUUCUCUAGUGCUUAAGAAGGUGUAGCAGACAGUACAUCUGCAACUACUCUUCAACUAAAGCAACCACCACAGAAAAUAAACUCAAAGUAGCACAUAAAAAAGUUUGAAAAUAAAACAAGAAUGUCAAAAACAGUGGCUUUGCAAUAGUCUCUGACCUCAUAUCAGCAGUAGCUUUAAGAGUACAGUUCCAUAAAACACUCUUUAAUCUCUUUAACAGAUGAAUGCUUUGUAAUUAAAAUUGUUUUGCCUCAUCAAAUCUUAGAAAUGUUUGAUUCUUACGAUAGAGUGAAAUAGAAGGUAUGUAUAAAAUGUACUAUCCUUUGACACUGUCAAUAUUUAUAAGUACUCAAAAAUUAAGACUUUCACAUUAUGAAAUCUAUAAGCAACUUCAAUAUACAAAAUUGUAAUAAGCUUUCAGUUAAUAAAUUGUCAGUUAAUACACAGAUUAACAUAACUAUAGGUAACUCAUAUACACAGCUGCAGCUACAGGACACAAACAGACAUGAUUUAUCAGGUACUCUGAAAUGUAAAACAAAUAUAUAAAUAAAAAUUAAUUUUCUAACUGGAGCCAGUGUUUAUGCUGAGGGAAUUUCUGCAGGGAAGUAGAAAAUACUGCAGUCCUUAAAGAGGUGAAUUAUUAUAUAUACAUAUAUAUAUAUAUUUUCCCCAUAAGAUAUUUCAGUUCACCCUAAAUUCAUAUGUGUGAUUAUACACAUACAUAGGGUCUUGGAGCAAUUUGAUUAAAAAACAAGUACCAGCAAGGGACUAAAACUCACCAAGACCUCUGAAAGGAAGAUACUUUCAUUAGAGGAUAAGACAAACACUUAAACAUGAUUUUUAAAAUAUUCUUCCAAGACUAUUGCCUUCCUAACACAAACAUGACUAUUACACUCUAAAAUGAAACCACUCAGAUUCAUCUACCCUCAGUUUGGACAGAAUAUCAGUGAGGAUGAAAGGUGCUUUUAUAUAGCAAUCCACAAAAAUUCAUAAAUAAAUAAAAAUAAACUCAUUAACUUCAAGUUACAACAGCAAAUAGAAAUAAGAUUGAGUGCUUCAAGAGGGAAUGCUAAAGCCACACUGUAUAAAAUGCCUCAACCCAACACACUUGAGAAAACUGCCAAUGAAGUAGGUAUCAAUACAGAAGUCCAGCUUAAAGUAUGCAGUUUACAAUCAGACCCAAAAAAUAUUUGCAUGUAGGUGGAAACUGUAUUGCAACACACAGCCUCUGAACCACUGUGACCCUUAGAAUAUUUCAUAAUUCUUUCUGAAAGCAAAUUAAAAUAUUGAUUUUAUAUACUCCUGAGUAUAGUUGAUGACAGUAACCUAUUACUCUUAUUAGGUCUGGUUGAUAACACUUGCUUAAAAGUGUGUAGAAGAAAUAAUUCUGAUGAUGACUUAAUGAAACAUCUUUAUACACCUCUGAUGAGAGUGUGAAUUGCUAAAAAUUUUCUGGAAAACCAUUGAGGAAUAUGUCUCAAGAACUUAAAGUUCAGAAUCUUUACUCAGUGAUUUUAUUUCUAGGAGUCUAUCUUAUCCAACUGAAAAUCAACAGAGAUCUAUGUUAAAAAGAUGAUUUGUAUGAUAACAAGAAACCAAAAAGUAACAUAAACGUCUGACAGUAGAAAGAUAAUUAAAGCAUAGCACAUCCACAUAAAGAAAUAUUUUAAAACGAUCCAUAAGGUAACUUGUGAUACUACAAUGUUUUAUAAACAUUAUAGACAUUUAUUAUGGACAUAAUAAAUUUGUGUGGCUGAGGAAAAAAAAAAGAAAGAAAACACAAAAAUACUGAGUGAUUAUAUCUGGAUAAUGAUAAGAUUAUGUAUGAUUUUAAUUUUUUCUUUUUACUUUCAUAUAUAGUUAAUCUCUAUAAUAAACAUUAUUUUGAUAAUAGGAAAUUUAUUAAUUGUCAGAGUGGGGUAAAAGAAAAAAGUUUUUGAGUGCCAUAUGGAAAUCAUAAGUGAAAUAAAUUAAUUCAGUCAUACAUAAAAGCCACUAAUCAUAGCUAUAGUGAGAAACUCAUCCUCACUGCUUCCUCAUAGGGGUAUAUCCAAGGUCUCCUUUACCCCACUGCUUUAGAAUCUACAUCAGUUAUUCUAUAACACAUUUUUAAUCAUCUUAGUAAAACUUCUUCAGUUAUGCAGAGUGAAAUGAUGGCAAGAACAAUUUAGGACUACGAAUACGUUCAACCUAUUACAAACUAAUUUAUUCACUAAGUCAACAGUAUUUAGUGAGCAUCUAUUACAUGCAAAGGGUUUGACAUUGUGAUAUGCUAAAAGAUAAAUCAGAAAACAACUUACUCUCAUAGAGUUAACAAUUUAGACGUGCUGAAAAGUAUCUAUAUAAUAACUUCCUAUUCCUGUGAAACCAAAAUUGUUCUAAAGGACAGCUUUAAAAAACAAAAAUACAUACAUACAGCUCACAUAAAGAUACAAACACAACACAGUUUAAGGCAUUUGUGACAGAUCUAGUACACUUUAAAGCAGGAAAACAUAUGACAGGGUUUUUUUUAAUAUUAUUGAGUAAAAAAAAUUUAACUCUCAACAAAAGUCACAAAUACAUGAAUGUGUAUCACUUAUGAAAUGCCCUAAUAAAUUAUUUAUUAUUUUUUCUUAUGUACUUUUUGUUAAUAGAGUUAUAUAACAGGAGACCAAGCAUAAAGGAAUAUUGAUUCAAUCUCAAAUUAUCCAAAGACACAUAAAACAUAUGCACAAUUAUUAACAGGCUACAGUUAUUUAUUGUCCACCAAAGUAAAUAAGUGAGUUACUUGCUAACCUUGCCAAAGACACUGCUAUAACACCACUUCCAGGAAAAGAAAAGGAGGUAAGGGUGCAUAGAUGAGGGCUGAGGGGGGUCCCUAACAACCAAAAGUGGUGGUAGUGGUGGUGGUGGUGGUGGUGGUGGUGGUGAACCAUCUUUGUUGUGCAGAUAAAUUAAUGUGGCAUAGAGUUUCUCUUGAUAGCGGUUCAGUUUCCUUGUGGACUGUAACCAUAAUCGGCAUUUGCCCCUUUGAAGCUAGUGCCACAUGAUGGUUCUGUGUGGUUCAGUCAGUGGGGUCAUCCUGUGUGAGGCAAGCACUAAGAGAAGCUAUUCAUAUGAUCAAUGAUCCAUGGAUCUGGGACAGCAGCCGAUUUAUAUGAGGUAGGAUGGUGGUUAAGUGGCUGGCUUUUGCUAUUGGUCAAAUCUGGAAUUGAAUUCUAGCUCCCUCUCUUCAAUUGCAUGAUAUUGAGGGAGUUACAUUUUCCCUAUUGGUAAAAUGAUGAUCAUGUUAUAAUGGUACCUAACCAAUAGGAUUGUUUUUGCCUAUUACACGUUAUAGGUAUGUAUAGGAACUAGCAUAGUGUCUUCUAUAAAGUAAGCAUUACUCAACAAAAGCUAUUAGUACUGUUCUAGUUGUAUGAGAAAAGGGGAGAUGUCUGUACCUUUAAGCU